rnacentral:rRNA from 1 species
GGAGGAAUCUUCCACAAUGGGCGAAAGCCUGAUGGAGCGACACCGCGUGAAGGAUGAAGCCUUUGUUGGUGUAAACUUCUUCUCUCUCGGAAAAUAAUGAUGGUACGAGAGGAAUAAGGGGCGGCAAACUUCGUGCCAGCAGCCGCGGUAAUACGAAGGCCCCAAGCGUUAUCCGGAAUUACUGGGCGUAAAGCGUCUGUAGGUGGUCUGGCAAGUCUCGCGUGAAACUUCGGAGCUCAACUCCGAAUUG